UACAGAGGUCUCAAGCGUUGUUCGGAUUCAUUGGGCGUAAAGGGUGUGUAGGUGGCGCGCUAAGUCGGGUGUGAAAUUUCGGAGCUUAACUCCGAAACUGCAUUCGAUACUGGCGUGCUUGAGGACUGGAGAGGAGACUGGAAUUCAUGGUGUAGCAGUGAAAUGCGUAGAGAUCAUGGGGAAGACCAGUGGCGAAGGCGGGUCUCUGGACAGUUCCUGACACUGAGACACGAAGGCCAGGGGAGCAAACGGG
rnacentral:rRNA from 1 species